rnacentral:rRNA from 1 species
AUCCUGCCCCUGGACCUGCUCUACGGCCUCCUGCUCCGCCUCCCCGCCAAGCCGCUCUGCCGCUUCCGUUCCGUCUGCAGGGCGUGGCAGUCAUUGCUCUGCCACUCGGACUUUAUCGCCGCUCACGACCACCGUCACCCUUGCCAACGCCGCGCCGUCGGCGUGUACCACUAUGGCCGGCCCUGGCCUGAAAUCCUCGUCCUGGAUAUGGACACCGGCUGCCUCAUCAAAAAUCUAGGAGCCAACAGCACCACCCACAACCACCGUCCCUUCAGUCCUGACCGAGCGGUCUGCGUGCAGGGCUUGGGCAUGCGGCUCUACCUCCACGACCACGUUACGGGUGCCGUCUCCCUCUUGCCAAGACCUGCAUCGCCACGGGACUGUGUUGUGGUCUCGUACUCACUAGGCCGCGUGCCCUCCACCGGAGAGUACAAGGUGCUGGUCGUGGUCACCCUCGUGCAACAUCAUGGGCAGGUCUGCAAGAUCCUAACCCUCACCGACGGCCAGCAGCACUGGAGGGCAACAGGCAAACCUCUUUUCGGGGUGGCAUCGCCGCUGACGAAGUCGUAUACCACCUGCCGGGAGACGACCGUAGUCGAGGGGGUCGCCUACUUCCUAGUUGUCGACGAACGGAUGAACAAGAACGCCGCCCCCGACUGGAUCAUGGGGUACCACCUGGACAGUGAGGCGUGGCGAUCGGCCGCCAUCAAAGGCCCGGCGGGCACCCUCGAUGUUGGCCUUGCCGGGUUGGACGGACGUCUCGUUGUGUGCCACGACGACCGCCGCACCCGCGUGCAGUUGUGGUCUCUCGUGGAACCCGAUCAGUCCCUCUGGUCCAUGCUGCGCUUUCGCGAGUAUGUCGAGAAGCCACUGGCGGUGCUCGAAGAUGGGAAGAUUGUGAUGAGGAUGCGGGUGAAGUCGGCGUCGGGGUCCCCCUUCCCGAACACGGUCUUGCGUUUCUACGACCCACGAACCGGAACUUCCACGGACGCGGCGAGGAUGAUGGACUGCCACGACGUGAGCAUUUACACAUGUAGCAUGUUGCACUCA